GACGAACGCUGGCGGCGUGCUUAACACAUGCAAGUCGAACGGAAAGGCCCCCAUCUUGGUGGGGGUGCUCGAGUGGCGAACGGGUGAGUAACACGUGGGUGAUCUGCCCUGUACUUCGGGAUAAGCUUGGGAAACUGGGUCUAAUACCGGAUAGGACCAUGGUUUAGUGUCUCAUGGUGGAAAGAUUAUUGUUUUGGUGCAGGAUGAGCUCGCGGCCUAUCAGCUUGUUGGUGGGGUAAUGGCCUACCAAGGCGUCGACGGGUAGCCGGCCUGAGAGGGUGGACGGCCACAUUGGGACUGAGAUACGGCCCAGACUCCUACGGGAGGCAGCAGUGGGGAAUAUUGCACAAUGGGCGCAAGCCUGAUGCAGCGACGCCGCGUGGGGGAUGACGGCCUUCGGGUGGGAAACUCCUUUCGUUAGGGACGAAGCCGCACUUUUUUUGGGUGUGGUGACGGUACCUUUGUGAAGAAGCACCGGCUAACUACGUG
rnacentral:rRNA from 1 species